GACGAACGCUGGCGGCGUGCCUAACACAUGCAAGUCGAGCGGGGUUGAAGCGAGGGGUAACUCGGACUUCUACCUAGCGGCGGACGGGUGAGUAACGCGUGGGCAACCUGCCUCAAGGUUUGGGAUAACAGCUCGAAAGGGCUGCUAAUACCGGAUAUGCCUAUGGCCUCGCAUGGGGCUAUGAGCAAAGGGGAAACCCGCCUUGAGAUGGGCCCGCGUCCCAUCAGCUAGUUGGUGAGGUGAAGGCUCACCAAGGCGACGACGGGUAGCCGGCCUGAGAGGGUGACCGGCCACACUGGGACUGAGACACGGCCCAGACUCCUACGGGGGCAGCAGUGGGGGAUCUUGCACAAUGGGCGAAAGCCUGAUGCAGCGACGCCGCGUGAGCGAAGAAGGCCUUCGGGUUGUAAAGCUCUGUCUGGAGGGACGAAACAAAUAGACGGUAACUCCGGAGGAAGCCAACGGCUAACUAACGUGCCCAGCAGCCGCGGUAAAAGUCAACGUGUAA
rnacentral:rRNA from 1 species